GACGAACGCUGGCGGCGUGCUUAACACAUGCAAGUCGAACGAAGUGGCGAACGGGUGAGUAACGCGUAAUCAACCUGCCCUUCAGAGGGGGACAACAGUUGGAAACGACUGCUAAUACCGCAUACUGAAGGAGGGGAUUGCGUCUGAUUAGCUAGUUGGGGGGGGAACGGCCCACCAAGGCGAGGAUCAGUAGCCUGUCGUAUGGGAUGAACGGCCAAAUUGGGAAUGCGACACGGCCCAGACUCCUACGGGAGGCAGCAGUGGGGAAUCUUCCGAAAUGGACGAAAGUCUGACGGAGCAACGCCGCGUGAGUGAGUACGGCCUUCGGGUUGUAAAGCUCUGUUAAUCGGGACGCGGUACCGGAAUAGAAAGCCACGGCUAACUACGUGCCAGCAGCCGCGGUAAUUC
rnacentral:rRNA from 1 species